rnacentral:rRNA from 1 species
AUUGAACGCUGGCGGCAUGCUUUACACAUGCAAGUCGGACGAGUGGCGAACGGGUGAGUAACGCAUCGGAACGUACCGAGUAAUGGGGGAUAACUGUCCGAAAGGACAGCUAAUACCGCAUAUUAUUCGAGCGGCCGAUGUCGGAUUAGCUGGUUGGCUGGGUAAAGGCCCACCAAGGUGACGAUCAGUAGCGGGUCUGAGAGGAUUAGCCGCCACACGGGGACUGAGACACGGCCCAGACUCCUACGGUAGGCAGCAGUGGGGAAUAUUGCGCAAUGGGGGCAACCCUGACGCAGCCAUGACGCGUGAAUGAAGAAGGCCUUCGGGUUGUAAAGUUCUUUCGGUAGCGAGGCGUUAACUACAGAAGAAGCACCGGCUAACUCCGUGCCAGCCGCCGCGGUAAUUC